UACGUAGGGUGCAAGCGUUAUUCGGAAUUACUGGGCGUAAAGCGUGUGUAGGCGGCUUUGCAAGUCAGCUGUGAAAUCCCCGGGCUCAACCUGGGAACUGCAUUUGUGACUGCAUAGCUAGAGUGCGGCAGAGGGGGAUGGAAUUCCGGGUGUAGCAGUGAAAUGCGUAGAUAUGCGGAGGAACACCGAUGGCGAAGGCAAUCCCCUGGGCCUGCACUGACGCUCAUGCACGAAAGCGUGGGGAGCAAACAGG
rnacentral:rRNA from 1 species